rnacentral:rRNA from 1 species
UACAGAGGUCUCAAGCGUUAUCCGGAUUCACUGGGUUUAAAGGGUGCGUAGGCGGAUAGGUAAGUCCGUGGUGAAAUCCUGCAGCUUAACUGCAGAACUGCCGUGGAUACUAUCUAUCUUGAAUGUCGUGGAGGUUAGCGGAAUAUGUCAUGUAGCGGUGAAAUGCUUAGAUAUGACAUAGAACACCCAUUGCGAAGGCAGCUAACUACGCGAUAAUUGACGCUGAUGCACGAAAGCGUGGGGAUCGAAACAGG